rnacentral:rRNA from 1 species
AUUGAACGCUAGCGGCAGGCCUAACACAUGCAAGUCGAACGAGUGGCGGACGGGUGAGUAAUAUAUGGGAAACUGCCUGAUAGAGGGGGAUAACUACUGGAAAGGGUAGCUAAUACCGCAUACCAUUAGAUGUGCCCAUAUCGGAUUAGCUAGUUGGUGGGGUAAAGGCUCACCAAGGCAACGAUCCCUAGCUGGUCUGAGAGGACGACCAGCCACACUGGGACUGAGACACGGCCCAGACUCCUACGGGAGGCAGCAGUGGGGAAUUUUGGACAAUGGGGGAAACCCUGAUCCAGCCAUCCCGCGUGUAUGAUGAAGGCCUUCGGGUUGUAAAGUACUUUUGGCAGAGAAGCGGUAUCUGCAGAAUAAGCACCGGCUAACUACGUACCAGCAGCCGCGGUAAUUC